AUAUGUGGAUAUACCUCUUUGAAAAUGUCUGACCUCACAUCAUCUCAGAAGCUAAGUAAGAUCAGGCAUAGAUAACGUUGACAGAAGAUUGCCUGGGAAUAUUUGAUAUUGCAUCUG
rnacentral:rRNA from 1 species